rnacentral:rRNA from 1 species
AGUGAGCGCUGGCGGUAGGCCUAACACAUGCAAGUCGAACGGCAGCACAGUAAGAGCUUGCUCUUACGGGUGGCGAGUGGCGGACGGGUGAGGAAUACAUCGGAAUCUACUUUUUCGUGGGGGAUAACGUAGGGAAACUUACGCUAAUACUGCAUACGACCUACGGGUGAAAGCAGGGGAUCUUCGGACCUUGCGCGAUUGAAUGAGCCGAUGUCGGAUUAGCUAGUUGGCGGGGUAAAGGCCCACCAAGGCGACGAUCCGUAGCUGGUCUGAGAGGAUGAUCAGCCACACUGGAACUGAGACACGGUCCAGACUCCUACGGGAGGCAGCAGUGGGGAAUAUUGGACAAUGGGCGCAAGCCUGAUCCAGCCAUACCGCGUGGGUGAAGAAGGCCUUCGGGUUGUAAAGCCCUUUUGUUGGGAAAGAAAAGCAGCAGGUUAAUACCCCGCUGUUCUGACGGUACCCAAAGAAUAAGCACCGGCUAACUUCGUG